UUGACUCACACUCAGUGGCUGUUUUCGAAUUGGCCUACUGAAAGCAGCAGUGUGGCGCAUCAGCAAAGGUAAAGAGCAGGCGGAUCGGUGACGCAGGUAAAAAGGUUCACUACCUGGUGGAACAGCGGGCUGUGUGUGAUGGGAACACGCAGUGCAGUGAAACACCUGCCCAGCACCAUGUCAUCAGGAGCAUCAUCACUGAAACAGCCACAACCGCUGGAGAGUAACAGAGACACCGCCACCCUGCUGAGCACCAUCCUGCACAAACAGAAAACAGAAAAGCCGUUUUAUGAAUAAGAAAAUCAACUGGAGAAAAAUACAAAGCAGGGGAUUGAUAUCAAGUGGCAAAAAAUCCUAAAUGUAUGAUGUUGAUCCUCUUCUGUUGUCUUUACUUAAAAAUCUGAGGUCCCACCAGCAGGUUGGCAGAUUUUUUUUAACUAUUCAGUUAUUUACAAAAGGACUGUUCAUAAGUAUACCACGUUAUUCAUCACCAGAAAGCUCUGAUUCUCAGGAUUCUGAACAUGUUAACCAGACCACGAUAAAACAGCCACCGCAGACGAAAUUAAUGCAUUUGUCAGACUACAAACAAAAGAAAACAAUAAAAUUGAAACAGCUCACCAUUAGAAGCUCUCCUGUACUCUCCUGAUCAUAGUACUCAAUCAAAACAGUCCUGCAACAUCAGAAAAGGUCCCCACAACCUAUUCAAGUAAAAAUUUAGUCCAAAAGCAGGAUUACAUCCAUAAAGAUCCAUGAACUGCUGUUAUAUUUAUUCAAAUUUGCUAUUGUUGUUCUCAGUUGUCCACAAUGUGCCAACCUCGAGUCUCCAGUUUGAAAAUACCUGGUCUUGCCCUCAUAAAAACUGGUGUAAAAUCCUCA